UAUCGUGGUAAGGACGGACAAAUCGAGACACGUGCACAUAGGAUAUUUUCCAGAACCCUCUUUUCAGAAAUCUCUCUCAAGUCCCAAACCCUCCCUUCACCUUUUACCUAAUCGUCUUCACCAGUCGUCACUCCCGUAGUUCAAUCUCCAGCAUUCUCCACCACCUCGUGUCCUCACCCAUAGCUGUUCGUUUUGCUCUCAUACAAGUUAAAGAAGCCCAUCAGCGUCCUCCGUUGCAGCGAAGAACUAGAACCCGUAGCAGCCACCCUCACCGACGCCUCCACCCCACCCCACCCCCACCGACGCCGCCACCAACAUCUUUCUCGCGAGUCCUCGACACACCCAACCAGGGAAGUGUCGCCUCCAACGCUGGCCGGCUCCUCUACCCCAUUUGCGCGCGGCUCCCUCACCCAACCAAGGAGAGGAAAUAAGAUGUUGAUGAAGAUUUGAAAGACUUUCAUAGAAAUAAGAAGAAUAAGGUAUUAUUCCCGUUUGGAUUAUUGGAUAUGGUUUAUUUGCUUUUGGGCUCUCAUCUCUUACAUGUUACAUUAUGCACAAGCAUAUGAUAGCAAGAAUCUAUCUUACUGCAUUUCGGCGUUGUAGAGUCUUUUCUUUUGGCACUGUCUCUAAUAAAAAUGCAAUAAAAAGGGAUUUUUAGUGUAUAGAGAAGCAAAGGUCGAUGAAAACAAUGUCGUUUUUGGUUCUAUGAAAUAGAUCUUUAAUUUGGUACAGUGAGUCAUUUAUUCUUUUUGAUGCAUGGUAAGAUAAUUAAGAGUACUGUACAAUUUACUACUUAUCAUACAGGUGGGCUUGAUUUUUUUUCCGAAUGAUAUGUGGUACCACAUGAGUAACAUUAUUAUUGAGGCUUCAAGAUCAUACAGGUAUUAGUUUGUAGUCUCCCAUUAGAUCACUUAUUAAUGGAGUUGUAGCUUUUCGUAAUAAUCACAUAGCUGCUUGUGUCACCAAUAAUAUUAACAUAUAUUUAAUAGUAUAUUGCACGGAUCAUAGGAGUGUAGUUAGUUAUCAUGUUUAUUAGCCUUGGAUCCAUUGUCUUUUUUAACUUUGAAACACAUGUUUAUUAUCAUUUUUAUCUCUUUGGAGAUGGAGUAGUAUCUGAUGCCCUUAUUUUCUAAGUAUUAAUUAUUAUUUUCAGGUUUGUGAAGAACAAAUGGAUUUUACACAUGUGUAAUUAGUUAGCUCUUAUGGUAAUAUUUUGGUGAUCUCAAGAUCUCAACUCUCAACCAAUGUAAAAUGAGAGUAUAUAAUAUUCUUUUUUUAGGUUAUUUAUAUAAGUACUACCGUAGUACUAACGUAGUACUACUUUUUGUAUAUUGCCAAACCAUUGGACAUGUAGAUAUUAUUGACCUUUUUAAUGAAAUUAAAUUUUUA